UACGUAGGGGGCAAGCGUUGUCCGGAAUCAUUGGGCGUAAAGCGCGCGUAGGCGGCCAGAUAAGUCCGGUGUGAAAGUCACAGGCUCAACCUGUGAAUGCCGCUGGAAACUGUCUGGCUUGAGUCCGGAAGGGGCGAGUGGAAUUCCUGGUGUAGCGGUGAAAUGCGCAGAUAUCAGGAGGAACACCAAUGGCGAAGGCAGGUCUCUGGGCUGACACUGACGCUCAUGCACGAAAGCGUGGGGAGCAAACAGG
rnacentral:rRNA from 1 species